rnacentral:lncRNA from 1 species
UUCCGGGAUUCAAUAAGCGUAACAACUGUGGCAGUCUGGAUUUUGAAAAGUACUGACGGUAUCCGGAAGGCACCAGUUUUCUUCAAGUCCCAUUGGCAAAGACAGAGGGAGGGAUAGGUCCCAUUCAGGGACCUGAAUGGAGCAAGACAUAAGGACACUAAUGACACUUCCCUCUGCUUUCUCAGGUAGCUGUACAUGCUCUCCCAAAUACAGAUUCUUUUAUGACCUUGAGCAGCAAAAGGGGUUGCUGCUGCUGCUGCUGCUGCUGCUGCUUGCUGCUUUUUUCCAAGGCUUACUCAGCUGUCACAGGCAGAAGAACAGAGGGAGUACAGACAUCUCAGGACUAAGACCAAGACAGAGAGACUCAAAACCAGGUAAGGGUUGCAGCAGAAGCAGUGAAGACUUUGGGUUUGGUAACAAGCCUUCCAGCUUGGAAGAAGGGGGAAUAUGA